rnacentral:rRNA from 1 species
UACGUAGGGUGCGAGCGUUAAUCGGAAUUACUGGGCGUAAAGCGUGCGCAGGCGGUCUGUUAAGACCGAUGUGAAAUCCCCGGGCUUAACCUGGGAACUGCAUUGGUGACUGGCGGCUUUGAGUGUGGCAGAGGGAGGUAGAAUUCCACGUGUAGCAGUGAAAUGCGUAGAGAUGUGGAGGAAUACCGAUGGCGAAGGCAGCCUCCUGGGCCAACACUGACGCUCAUGCACGAAGCGUGGGGAGCAAACAGG